CCUGCGCGGCUGCAGUAGGGAAUAUUGUUCAAUGGGGGAAACCCUGUAGCAGCAACGCCGCGUGGAGGAUGAAGGUUUUCGGAUUGUAAACUCCUUUUGUUAGAGAAGAUAAUGACGGUAUCUGACGAAUUAGCACCGGCUAACUCCGUGCCAGCAGCCGCGGUAAUACGGAGGGUGCAAGCGUUACUCGGAAUGACUGGGCGUAAAGAGCGCGUAGGCGGGAUAGCAAGUCAGAUGUGAAAUCCUAUGGCUUAACCAUAGAACUGCAUGUGAAACUGUUAUUCUUGAGUAUGGGAGAGGUAGGUGGAAUGCGUGGUGUAGGGGUAAAAUCCGUAGAGAUCAAGAGGAAUACUGAUUGCGAAGGCGACCUGCUAGAACAUAACUGACGCUGAUGCGCGAAAGCGUGGGUAGCAAACAGGAUUAGAUACCCGAGUAGUC
rnacentral:rRNA from 1 species